GUUUGAGUGUGACCAGGCUGAGGAGACGUAGGGGCCUUGCUGAGCUGGGAGCUGGAGUCUGGAGGUGUGUGAGUCCCUACUGACGUUUCGGGCAGGAGUCUGUCUGAGUGAUAGUUGUCCUUGGGAGCUCAGUGGGGAAAAGCGAGGGCUUUUUUGGGCGAGGGCUCCUCCAGCCGGGCGCUCUUUCAGGGACUAACAGUGAUUGAUCGCCGCAGGCUUGGUGAUAGGGUAGGGGUCACAACAGGGUCCCUGGCCUUGUGGAACUGGGAGUCUGGGAGUCUGACAGAUAGUCAGGCUCUUGGGCAUGAGGAUGCUUGAGACUGGGGACACCCCUGGGCGGUCGUGGGUUCAGGGAGGUGCCUGUCUUUGUAGGUUUGGACCCAGCAAGGCCUGGGACGUGGAGGGUGGCGGGCUUGGCGCAGAAGCAGGCUUGAGCAAAGGACCCUCAGCCGGCGCUCCUGGGCCAGCACAGCGGAGCUGGGUCAGGCAUCCCCAGAAGGCCCGGCCCCUGUGACCUGCAGCCCCGUGAGGUGCUCCCAGCAUGCCUUGCUCCUCUCUGCCCAGUGGCUGCAUGUCACAGCCUGGAAGGACCCUUUGUGGGGACAGUGAUGUAGGAAGCCUUGCUGAGCUCUGGGACCCUCGGGUCUGCGGUGGAAUCCACUAGCAGGAGGCCCCGCGGGUCAGAUGUGGGCCGGCUGCACCCACGGACGCGAGCUGGGCAACCUGAGUAGGGGCUUUCCUUUUCCCUUUAGCCUCAGCAAAGACAGAGGGGCUGAGAUGGCGGCAGGAACGGGAGCGGCGGGGAGAGCAGGUGAAGUACCCUCCGCACACCCACGCACACCUGCCACGGACUCCCCGGCACAAGGCAGCUUCCACGCACACCUGCCACGGACUCCCCAGCACAAGGCAGCUUCCAGGUCCAUGUCUCCCUCCCUGGGCCUCGGAGUCCCCGAGAGCAGAGGCCAGGGCCCCCUCUGCCUCCCUGCCUCCCGCACAGAGCAGAGAGCUACCUGCCGAGAAGCCGGGCACCCGGGCGGUUUCUGGAGCGGAGCCUGGAAGCAAGGCGCGCGCUCGCCGUGAACACCUGCUUCCUCAUCUGGGGACAGCUGCAGGGUUCCCAGCUCCCUACGGGGCAUGUGGGCCAGGGCACCUCCCCCUCUGCUUCAGGUUUGCUUUGCACUCAGUGCCCUCCCUGCAGCUCCUGCUGGAAGCUUCCAUCCCAGAGGAGUGGGCAGAGGGAGGCGGCCUGCGCUCCGCCCAGGGCGGUAGGACCAGGGCUCCAGCCCUCUGCGGAGGUCCGCGGGCCUGGCCAUCCCUCCAGGUCUUGGUGACAGGAAGCUGAGAAAGCCCCCUUUGCCCUUUCCGAGCCGUCUCCAUUGAAUCAUUCUGGAUUCGCCUCUUUCCCUACGCCUCCUUUUCCAUUGUGUCAAGUUCAGAGAAGGCAAGCCGUGAAAACCCAGGAUGCUUCUCUGAGCACAUUUCUUCAUGUCCCAGGAUAGUUCUGUCCUCAUGAAAACGGAAACAGAAGGUGAUUGUCAAGUGAGGUGAGGGGCAGAGCCGGGGUUCUAAGUGGGGAGCCCCAGGAGACGUUGAGUCAGGUCCGGGGACACUUGUGGUGUCACAGCAGUUAGGAUGUGUGGUAGUCAGCUUUCUGUCACUGUGACACAAGACCAGAGAUUGCACUUGUAGAGAGGAAAGGUUUGCUUGGGCUCAUGGUGUCAGUUGGUGAUUGCUUGGCCUGCUGUCUGCCUGUGGACACACCUUAUGGUGACCAGGAAGAAACGAGAGGGUCAGGGAGGAGCUGGGCACAGCCCCAAUGACCUACUUCCUAGGCCCUCCCCGAAGGGUCACAACCCCUGCCAACAGCACCACGGGCUGGAGACAAGCCUCCGAGCUUCAGCAAGUGGGCCCUCGGGGCGUCCUGGGGUCCAGACCCUAACCACUGCCGGGUUAAAGGGCGAGUCACCCCGAAGAGGCCAGGGAUGGUGCCACGCAUCCCGCAGCGUGUGAGAUGGCCCUAGGAGUGCCAGCGGUGUCAGCGGUGCCCCACAAGAGCACAGAACCUGGGGGUGUGGCCAUCGCUGUCUCUGGAGGGACCCCCGCUGAGUCACAGGACCCCUCCCCCUCGCCCGUCUCUGGUGUGAACCAACCCUGCCCCUCCCACGAGCCACACCUUCUUGGCACGCCACCUGCUGGGCUGCCGUGACACCCUGUGUCCCCACCUUGGGUAGAGGUUCAGUGGAGGGGCGGGGACCGGGCAAAC
rnacentral:lncRNA from 1 species